rnacentral:rRNA from 1 species
ACUCAAAUGAAUAGACGGGGGCCCGCACAAGCGGUGGAGCAUGUGGUUUAAUUCGAGGCAACGCGAAGAACCUUACCAAGGCUUGACAUGGAUAUGCAAACCCGAGAGAUCGGGUCCUCCUUCGGGACAUAUCACACAGGUGGUGCAUGGUUGUCGUCAGCUCGUGUCGUGAGAUGUUGGGUUAAGUCCCGCAACGAGCGCAACCCUUGCGUCCAGUUGCCAGCGGGUGAAGCUGGGCACACUGGAGGGACUGCCGUGGACAACACGGAGGAAGGUGGGGAUGAGGUCAAAUCAUCAUGCCCCUUAUGUCUUGGGCUACACACGUGCUACAAUGGGACUGACAGCGUGGAGCGAAGCGGCGACGCGGAGCGAAACACGAAAAGGUUCCUCAGUUCGGAUUGUAGGCUGCAACCCGCCUGCAUGAAGUUGGAAUCGCUAGUAAUCGCGAAUCAGCACGUCGCGGUGAAUACGUUCCCGGGCCUUGUACACACCGCCCGU